UACGUAGGGUACGAGCGUUGUCCGGAAUUACUGGGCGUAAAGAGCUCGUAGGCGGUUUGUCGCGUCGUCUGUGAAAUUCUGCAACUCAAUUGCAGGCGUGCAGGCGAUACGGGCAGACUUGAGUACUACAGGGGAGACUGGAAUUCCUGGUGUAGCGGUGAAAUGCGCAGAUAUCAGGAGGAACACCGGUGGCGAAGGCGGGUCUCUGGGUAGUAACUGACGCUGAGGAGCGAAAGCGUGGGGAGCGAACAGG
rnacentral:rRNA from 1 species